rnacentral:lncRNA from 1 species
CAACAUCAACAUGCAACUUUGAUAUCGGAGAAAGCCAAAUCUUCUGUCGACGAUUGCCUUUCGACUCAACUCUGCGCGACAAACAUCUAAGAUCGGAGAAGACGAACUAGUAUACAAAAUCAACAUCUACUUCAAGUUCAGUAACCAAAAACAAUAUCACAGCAACUUCGAUACAAAUCUAAACUCUGAGGUAUGUGAGUUUAAAGUUCAUAUGCAUAUAGUUACCUAUGGUUACUACGGUAUUCGAAUAUAUAUUGGUUACCUUUAUUAAGUUUUUCACAAUUAAAAUGGUAACUACAAAUUCCUAUAGCGUUUGGUUGAUUCAUUUGACUGUUUUAGAUUAUGGUUACUAAAUAUAAACUGUUCACAUACUGUUUAUUUGAUUAAUUUAUAAUUUUUAAAUGAGUUUUACUAAAUUUUUAUAUUAAUGGUUACUCAUCAUAAACAUUGGUUACUGCCUUAUGCAACUGUUAGUUACUGUCUAUUGUUGUUUUGGUUACUGUAUAACAUUAUAUUGUUCAGUGCUGUCUUGGUUACUGUCUAAUGAUAUCUUGGUUACAGUAUGACAAUAUGUUGGUUACUGUCUAAUGCUGUCUUAGUUACUUUGUAACAUUAUAAUGUCUAAUGUUGUCUUGGUUACUGUAUGAAGCUAUGUUGGUUACUGUCUAAUAAUGUUUUGGUUACUUUGUAACAUUAUAAUAUCUAAUAAUAAGCUAGUUACUGUCUAAUGCUUCAUAGGUUACUAUGUAACAAUAUAUUGGUUACUGAUUCAUGAUGAUUUGAUUACUGGGUAACUUUAUUGUGGUUACUGCAUAUUGCUGAUUU